rnacentral:lncRNA from 1 species
GACGAUAUGGAUGUAGAGCAGAGAAGGGAUGGCAGUUUGGGAGUUAGUAUGUCAGAAGAGGGAAUGGGAGAGUCCCAAGGAGGCACUCAGGCCUCGGGAUUUGUUCAGCCACCCCACUACCCACACUUCUCACAAAAUCCCGAGUAUUCGAUGGGAGGUACAUCGGAUUACCCUAGUUGCACCCCUUAUCCCACACAGAUGCCAU